UACGUAGGGCGCAAGCGUUAUCCGGAAUUAUUGGCGUAAAGAGCUCGUAGGCGGUUUGUCGCGUCUGCCGUGAAAGUCCGGGCUCAACUCCGGAUCUGCGGUGGGUACGGGCAGACUUGAGUACUGCAGGGAGACUGGAAUCCUGGUGAUAGCGGUGAAUGCGUAGAUAUCUGGAGGAACACCGGUGGCGAAGGCGGCGUCCUGGACCAACACUAGAACACUGAUGAGCGAAAGCCAGGGAGCAAACGG
rnacentral:rRNA from 1 species